AGCAGACAGAUGAUUCCCCAGUCCCGGAACACUCUCGGCCCUCUUCAGCCACUCCCUCCCCAACCCACACGCCAUCAACCUCCAGACCCUCUCGCCGUGGCUUAGAGGUGUCUCUGACAACGUGGCACACUGGGAAGGCCUUCUUUCCUGCUACCAAUACAAAUGCAUUCUGAAUUUGAUAUGUCAUUAAAUGUAAAAAUACAGCCAAUUUGAAACAAGCAAAUGGAAAUUCCCAGGAACCAAAAACAGAAAGAAAAAUCAGAGCUACCGCAGUGCUGUCCCUGCAGACAGAAUUUGGGAGAGGUACUCAGAGUCACCUCCUGUGAGCCUAUGCAAGCCAGCUCCUGCACAACCCUGGUUUUAGUCCAGGUUGUCUUGUGGUAGAGGAGAUUUUGCCUUGCAAUUUUACAUACUUAUGCUACGUGGAAGGCUGGGUGGCGUGACUUCAGGAAAGAGACACACAGAGAGAGAGAGAAAGAGAGAAAGAGAGAACCCACCUACCUGUUUUGCAAAAGUCUCAUGAAUCAUCCCUUCCUGUGGUCCUGCUCCCUGAGAUCCUUUCACCGCUCACAGUGGGCUACUUCUAAGAGCGUGCCUGGCACAGGGUCACUGAGAGCAUAGUCUUAAUAAAACAAUGAUGGAUGCUUGUCUCUCUCACUGGGUGCCAUGCACUUUGAUCAGAAGCUUUAAGAAUGUUUUCCUCCACUGUCUAGUCACAGCCGUAUUAAAUUACACAAGGCAUGGGAAGAGGCAUAAUCUGUUGAUGAUAAAUCAGAAUUAAUGAGAGUUUAACAAGCCUGCUAAAUACUAAGUCAAUGUAAAAAAUCAAUUGUAAGCCCAUCUAUCAGAAAAACACUAUUAGCAAGCAAAAUUUACAUUUUUACUGCUUAACAUAGCAUCCCAAAUAUCAAGUACCUAGCAACAAAUCUAACGAAAGAUAUGCAAGACUUAUAGAGAAAACAGCAACAGCAACAACUUUGUUUAGAUACAUUAGCGAAGAUCUCAUUACAUGGAGACAUACACUAUGCUCAUGGACUGGAAGACUCCAUAUGGAAGAUGCCAAUUCACAUCUCAGAAUCUCAGCAGGUGUUGCAAAGAACCUGAAAAUUUGUUUUAAAAAUUCAUGUCAAAAUGCAAAGGUCCUACAAUUGCCAAAGAAAAAUAGGGAGGGAGGACCACCUGAUAUCAGCGGUGAUUAUAAAACAAUAAUAAAUGUGAUACCUUGCCUUAAGUCUGGGGAUAGACAAAUAGACGAGGGGCGCAGGUUGGAGAAUCCAGAAACUGACCCAUGAAUACAUUGACACUUGAUAUAUGACAGAAAUGGCCCCCAAAGCCAUGGGUGUCUGGGCAUAUAGUAUCCAUACAGAAAAAAUAUGAACUAUCUUCAAUAAGAGACAUAACACUAUAAAAGAAAAUCAUUUUAAGAAAAAA
ensembl:lncRNA LINC00929 long intergenic non-protein coding RNA 929